AAUUUGUCCAAAAGUAAGUAAAGUUGCUCCCCUGAAGGUCAGCAUCUGCUCGGGGCAACUGUCACGGACAUGGGAGAGUGCUGUGACUUGUGUGACAACAUAAGGUCAGAAAAGGUGACAGCAAGGUCACAAUGGAAGGGGCAGUCAAAUCCACCUAGGGAUGUUAAAGAAGAUAAGCCCUAAAUGAAGAACUGAAACAUUAUUAGGAUUUUUAUCAAGCACAACGUGGGAAUGAAUAUUCUAAGAAGCAUGGAUAGAUGUAGCUCUGAGGCCUCUGUCAGUGUCAUAGGUGGAUGAAGCAAAAGCAAAGGAAAGGAAAGCCCAUACGGGAAAGAAAACGGUUCCGAAGACAUACUUUAUGCUCUAAACGAGAGAGAGACAGACCAUGAGCGGUGGAGGGGCAGACAGAGAGGGAGACACAGAAUCCGAAGCAGGCGCCAGGCUCCGAGCUGUCAGCACAGAGCCCAACGCGGGGUUCGAUCUCACCAACCGCAAGAUCACGACCUGAGCCAAAGUCGGACGCUCAACCGACUGAGCUUCCCAGGUGUCCCAGGUGUGCUGCCUUUUUAUAUGCUGUACAAAAGCUUUUU